GAGUUUAACAACAGAACACAGACUUUGAAAAACAACUCUGCCCUUUAAUGAGGCCAAAGACAAGUGGAGGCUUCCUGAGCCCCGUGUGGGCACUUACAGGAGAAUGUCAAAACGUGAACAGCACCUAUCUGGUGUGCGGACAGACUGCUAGUUAGUCUUAAACGGUGCUUUAAAGGGCUUUCACAUCGAGAUCAUAUACAACCAAA